UACGUAGGGGGCAAGCGUUGUCCGGAAUCAUUGGGCGUAAAGAGCGUGUAGGUGGACUGGAAGGUCUGGUGUGAAAGCCCGGGGCUCAACCCCGGAGGGUCACUGGAAACCAACAGUCUUGAGUCCGGAAGAGGAGAGUGGAAUUCCUAGUGUAGCGGUGGAAUGCGCAGAUAUUAGGAGGAACACCAAUGGCGAAGGCAGCUCUCUGGUACGUGACUGACACUGAGACGCGAAAGCGUGGGGAGCGAACAGU
rnacentral:rRNA from 1 species